rnacentral:rRNA from 1 species
AGUGAACGCUGGCGGUAGGCCUAACACAUGCAAGUCGAACGGCAGCACAGUAAGAGCUUGCUCUUACGGGUGGCGAGUGGCGGACGGGUGAGGAAUACAUCGGAAUCUACUUUUUCGUGGGGGAUAACGUAGGGAAACUUACGCUAAUACCGCAUACGACCUACGGGUGAAAGCAGGGGAUCUUCGGACCUUGCGCGAUUGAAUGAGCCGAUGUCGGACUAGCUAGUUGGCGGGGUAAAGGCCCACCAAGGCGACGAUCCGUAGCUGGUCUGAGAGGAUGAUCAGCCACACUGGAACUGAGACACGGUCCAGACUCCUACGGGAGGCAGCAGUGGGGAAUAUUGGACAAUGGGCGCAAGCCUGAUCCAGCCAUAGCGCGUGGGUGAAGAAGGCCUUCGGGUUGUAAAGCCCUUUUGUUGGGAAAGAAAAGCAGCAGGUUAAUACCCCGCUGUUCUGACGGUACCCAAAGAAUAAGCACCGGCUAACUUCGUG